rnacentral:rRNA from 1 species
UACGGAGGGUGCAAGCGUUGUCCGGAUUUAUUGGGUUUAAAGGGUGCGUAGGCGGCCCGAUAAGUCAGUGGUGAAAGCCUCCAGCUCAACUGGAGAACUGCCAUUGAUACUGUCGGGCUUGAGUACAGACGAGGUUGGCGGAAUUGAUUGUGUAGCGGUGAAAUGCAUAGAUACAACCAAGAACUCCGAUUGCGUAGGCAGCUAACUAGGCUGUAACUGACGCUGAGGCACGAAAGCGUGGGGAGCGAACAGG